rnacentral:lncRNA from 1 species
AUGUCCUCCAACGUGGCCCCCAGGCAGCGGUCUGGGCAGGCAGGGCCAGCAGGGGACUUGAGGACGACGGUGGACAUGAGCUGCCACCGAAGGCCACACCCACAAGAGGACAGAGAAGCCGGCAGUGACACCCACAGCGGGGAGGCAGCCAGCGUCUGCGGAGGCCUUUCCCGUCCUCAGCCCCAGGGCCUGACGCCCGGAGACAUCGUAAAAGCGAUCCCUCAGCAACCCCCGGAACUUGCUGUGCACCAGGUGGCCAUCCAGUGGUUACCAUCAAAUCUCGCUUAAUCUUCCCUGCAGCUCCACGGGGCAGGGCAAUGAUGAGGUCUGGAGGUGAGAGAUUCCUGCUUCGGACCCUCAGAUGAGUCUACACAGUGGGCUCCUCGGGCUCAGCUCAGAGACUCUCGAGCACUAGGCAUGGGAGCCCGGCCGUGAGCAACGAAGUCUAAGCGGACAUGGGACACUUCAGGGCGGGGACAUCAAGGUGGAGACUGAGGACCAGGACAAGCCAAGGUUAUGCAGGAUAAGGAGGCGGAAACAGGAGUAAGUUCCUGAACCAGGCAUGGUGCCAUGUAGCUGUCCCAGCACUCCAGGAGGCUGAGGCAGGAGGGUCCCAAGCUUGAGCCUAGUUUACGGAACAUAGCAAGAUCCUGUCUCAAAAUAGGACAGAAAAACGGGCUGGGGAAGUAACUCCGUUGGACAGCCAGAAUUCCUUCUCUGGGCUCCAUCUCCCCAGGGAAUGCUGUCAUCAGACCACUCACCUCUCACCUACGCUGGACAGGCUGACUUCAGACGGAUUGGUGACACAGCACUGUUUCAAGCCAGCAGACUUUAAAUACAGGCGCGCUGUGCAUUAAACAGGAAGUUCCAAUGCUGUGCAUAGGGAGGGCAGGAAAAAUGGCCAGGGUGCUUCUCUGCUUCUCUUUACAGAAUCUCAGGGAAGCUGGCUUAAACUGGUGUUAGGGUUUGGAUCUAAACAGUCCCACCAAAUUUUCAGCUUUGCAGGUGGGGCCUGGUGAAAGAGGUGGCCUGGGGCGGGGCCUGGAAGAGUUUAUCUCCCUCCUGGCUCCACCCUCUCUCUCCACUUCCUAUCCACCGUGAUGAGCAGCUCUCCUCCGCCAGGCCCCUCUGCCAGGCCAGCUGGCCUUGAAGCAGCCAACUGUGGACUGAAGCAUAAGCCAAAAUAAACCUCUCCUCCUUAAGCUGUGGUUGUUGGGUACUUUGUUCUAGCAGCAAGAAAGUGACUAAGCAACUUGUCUUCCAGGGCCUCCCGAGCAACAGU